rnacentral:tRNA from 1 species
CAGUUAAUAGUUUAAAUAAAAUUUAAGUUUUGGGGACUAAAGAUAUGAGUAAUAAUCAUUUUACUGA